CGACUGAAAUAUUAUAUAUAUAUGUUUUGUAUUCUAUAUUAAUUUGAAAGAAACUAUGAAGUAUUUGCAUGAAAAAUUGGUUAUUGAAAAGAAAAGCAAUGACUUAAACUGUUAAAAAAAAAAUAAAAUAAAAUAAACGCAGAAAGAGCUGAUGAUGCAAGUGAAUUACAAUAAUAUUUGAAUGAUUAACCUUCGAUUCGCUGGUUUUUAGCCUAUGUGUGUAUUGCUAUUGCUAUAAGAUUACGACUUCGGAGAAAAGUGCGCAACCGCUGAGAAUCUUCCUUAGCACGAAAACACGCAAAAUAUUCGGACAUUUCAAAGCUUACGCUCGCCAGUUGAAUGAGGUGAAUUUAUAUUCACCACAUGAGAGCCAAAUGCCAGAGGAAAAUAACAAUAAUAUGCCAGGGAAUACAAAGGUAAAUACGAAUGUGUUGUCGUUGGAUUGGUGAGCAUAGUGGAAAAAGUAACAGCUGCAGCAUUUAGUUCGAAUACUGAAGGUGCUGCAGGAUUCAUGCGGGUUUCAUAUUGUCAACCAAAUUUCGCAUUUGUUUUGUGAAUAAAUAUUCAUAAUAAUUAAAUUGCUUGACAGACAGACUUGUUGAAAGUGACGAAAACAAUUUGAUGGAAAUUAACGUGAAGUGUUUGUGAAAAAAGUUAAAAUCUAACGAAAAGCUAUCAAAUGAUAGCAACAACUACGCGCAGGAAACAAGAAAGUGCAACAACAACACUAAAUAAUACCAAACGUAUGGCAAUAGAAAGCGUCGUGAACAAGUGAGUUCCGUACAAAAAUACGCAGAGCGUGAAGUGAGAUGACUCCGAGUACGAAUGGGAGAGUUUCAGUGAGUGUAUUUUCAAUGCACAUACACACACAAGUGCACACGUACAGCAGGUUUAUCGAGGUGUAAGUCCACAGGCGGCAGGGUGUGUGAGUGUGAGUUUGUGUACCGCAAUAGCAGCAGCAUCAGGCGACGAAGCGUUGACUUUCGCGUUACAAAUGUGCAUGCAAAGCACACGCUAAAUAUAAAAAGUGUAUUAAAAUAAACGAAAAUUCACAAAUCAAUUCAUAGGUGUAACAACGUGCGUGUCUUUGUGCAGUGUUUGCGUGUUACGAAGUAAUUAACACACGCUACUGACGACUGAUUUCUGACUUGCCUAUGAUGUGGCAAGCGAAAUAUUAGGUUGAUUAACUGCCACAGAACAACAACAAUACAAAAGCACCUGUGCACAAGGCAGGCAACUAGCCACGAAAGCAAAAACAAGCAAACCGAGCAGAAAGACCACCUCACACACCUAACACACCUUGGCAAACGACAUACGCGUCAAGUGAGGUGAAAAUUGAACUUUGCCACAGCAGUGGCGCAACAAGAGGGCGGCCAGCUAUGUACUGCAUAUGCUAGUGUGCGUAUGUGUGCAAAGAUCCUGUUGCUUGAUUGUCAACGUGCAUUGGCAGUGAAUAUGCCUCAAUAGGCAUUCGAAGGCGUCUCAUUGGCAUGCCUCAACGUAUGCCCCGCUUAAUGACUACGCGGCCACAAAAGUUCAUUUGCACCAAUACGCUGCCGCCAGAGCAAAUGAGGUGCGUGUACUGAAUUAAUUUAAUUGUAGACUACAAUAAAUGUAAGAGUAUGCAUAGCAUAUUGCUUCAAGGAUAAGUUUUAUUAGCGCGCGCCCGUUCGUUGGUGUGUGUGUAUGUGAAAUAAGUAGGUGAAAGCGAAAAAUUGUAGUCGUCAAAUAAUUACGUGGUAUAUGACGGCAGCGAUUUUUCUAUUUUUCUACUUUUCAUGUUUGUUUGUUGUUGCACAAGCUGACAGUUUCAACACGUUACCUGCGCUCACAAUAGUUCUACUUACUUACAUACAGUUACCUAGACAAGUACAAUUGUACAUUAUAUGCAUACGAACAUUUUUAACCAAGCAUAUGUAACGACGCCGAACAACUCAAGCGACCACUCAAUCAUUCAGCCCACCUGGCAAAGUGAGAAGAGACUUGCGAAACUGUCGCGCCCAGUCAAGCAGUCAAGCAGCCAAGUAGUCAAACACCGACCCAAAGCAUUUCGUCAUAAUUGCUGUCGCCCUUCAGAGUAGCAGGGCCGCCUGUCGGCACGUCAAGCGCAUCGACCGCCUCACUGACGGACCAACUAGCCGGUUUAGGGCACGACUCGUCAGUCGUCGGCAGCCGUGCGACAACAUUUGUCGCUGCCAAUACUUGCAAGUGUAAGAGUCGGCACAACGGUGACAUAAAGCAGUGCGAAACCCACCACAAACACGCCAGCUGGGCGGCAGCCAGGCAAGCAGCAGCAGUAGUGGAUUUAACGCUGACGCUUAGCUUUCAUAAGAAGUGCUAGAAAGCUAACUAACACACGUGUUGUUUUCCAACGUUUACACUGAAAGGACUCUCGCCUCGCCCACUCAUACACAUCGCGUACACGCAAUUGCUCGUUGGUGACGCAGGCAGGUAAGUGCGCUUAAUUUGCUUGUGAAAUUAGUAAGUCUAAAAAAAUUGUCAACUAAUUUGCUCUGUCACUAUAUAACCUAUUUAUUUUUUGGCGUAGCAUUUUCUCUCUUCAACUGUUCUAUUAUGAGUAGUAGAAACUCUUAAAGCUCUAAUGAACUAUGUUAAUCUCUAUUCUGAAACUAAUUCUUGAACCACGUCGUCUUAAUUAUUUGUCUCUACUGUGAACCUAUUAGACUUUAUACACCCCUCUACCAAAAACUCUAACUCAACUCUAAUGUUUUUGGACUCUGUCUUUUUAUUGGAAAAAACUCUUCAACACUUCUUUACGCACUUACUUAUGCACUUACAUUUGACUCGUAUACUCGUAUGCACGAACACACAUUGACAUAUCCGUUCUAUGUAGUCGUGUAUUACCAAUUCUAUUUACACUUUCGAUUCAUUUCCGUUUCCGAGUGUUUCGUUUCCGUUGCGAGUGUCGACCCUUAUCAGCAAUCGAACAGCACAGCAGGCAAUAAAUAGCCAAGUGGCCAAGCGAACAGGUUGCCAACAAAGGUAGCAGCGCGCAGCGAAAAGCCCGGAUGGAUUGUAUUUAAGCAGCUCAGCUGUAAAGGCAAAGUCACCGGAUAUCAUGUCCUUGCGUAUUGACUGGCAAGUGGCCUCAACUUAACUCAUUCGUUGACUUUUCGUAAAGACAGCGGCAUGGGCCGCACUUAAAACCAAAACAUAAAUGAUGAAUUUCAAAAAAAAACUUACGAAAGUCACAACAAAGUGGCUUUCUGCGUGCUCAUCGUGAGAAUGAACGUCGUUUUAACUUGUCAAACUGUUGCAGAAAUUUCGGCGCAGCCUUGAAGUAGGCAACGAAUCUGGUAAAGGAAAUCCAACUUGUUAAUCGCAUACCUACAGACGUCUACAAUUAAUAUGGAAAUCUGCACCAAAAUAAGCAGUGCGCGAACAGUGAAGAACAAUGCUAGACUUCGGCUACGCUGAAUACCCUUGAGGGAUGAGAGAAUAGAGGACAUAACAGCCUUAAUUUCGUACAAUCGGUUCUUUGAUAUAUCUAUAUAUUUGUUAAAGCUGCUUUCAAAAUGGUUGAUAGUAAAUUUUCUCUUUUUUAUAAUAAAAAUAUUCUAGAAUUCCAA